rnacentral:tRNA from 1 species
GUCCCCGUAGCUCAGCAGGAUAGAGCAUCAGAUUCCUAAUCUGGGGGCCGCAGGUUCGAAUCCUGCCGGGGACGCCA